rnacentral:rRNA from 1 species
GAUGAACGCUAGCGGCAGGCCUAAUACAUGCAAGUCGAACGGUAACAUGAGUAGCAAUACUUGAUGACGAGUGGCGCACGGGUGCGUAACGCGUAUGCAAUCUACCUUUAACUGGUGAAUAGCCCGAAGAAAUUCGGAUUAAUACACCAUAGUAUAUUAGAGUAGCAUUACUUUAAUAUUAAAACUACGGUGGUUAAAGAUGAGCAUGCGUGACAUUAGCUAGUUGGUGAGGUAACGGCUCACCAAGGCUACGAUGUCUAGGGGGAUCUGAGAGGAUUAACCCCCCACACUGGUACUGAGACAGGGACCAGACUCCUACGGGAGGCAGCAGUAAGGAAUAUUGGACAAUGGUCGCAAGACUGAUCCAGCCAUGCCGCGUGAAGGAUGACGGCCCUAUGGGUUGUAAACUUCUUUUGUACGGGAAAAAACCCCUCUACGUGUAGAGGGCUGAUUGUACUGUAAGAAUAAGGAUCGGCUAACUCCGUGCCAGCAGCCGCGGUAAU